rnacentral:rRNA from 1 species
GGUUCAGGAUGAACGCUGGCGGCAUGCCUAAUACAUGCAAGUCGAACGAAGAAAUGUUGCUUGAAGGUGCUUGCACCGGAUAGUUGCUUUUCUUAGUGGCGAACGGGUGAGUAACACGUAGGUAACCUGCCUAGUUUGGGAUAACAGUUCGAAAGGACUGCUAACACCGAAUAAUCUUAAAUUUGGGCAUCUAAAUUUAAGGAAAGUUAACGCUAGAGGAUGAGCCCGCGUCCCAUUAGCUAGUUGGUGAGGUAACGGCCCACCAAGGCAACGAUGGGUAGCCGACCUGAGAGGGUGACCGGCCACACUGGGACUGAGACACGGCCCAGACUCCUACGGGAGGCAGCAGUAGGGAAUUUUCCGCAAUGGACGAAAGUCUGACGGAGCAACGCCGCGUGAGGGAUGAAGGUUUUCGGAUCGUAAACCUCUGUCCUUGGGGAAGAUAAUGACGGUACCCAAGGAGGAAGCCACGGCUAACUACGUGCCAGCCGCCGC